rnacentral:sRNA from 1 species
GCAACCUGGACAACGAGAGGCUUUGUCUUCACCCGACACAGUCAAACCACAGCAAUUCCUUCAUGUCCAGAGGGGACAGUGCCACUCUACAGCGGGUUUUCUUUUCUUUUUGUACAAGGAAAUCAACGAGCCCACGGACAAGACCUUGAUGCACUGUUUGUGAAGGUCCUGCGAUCGCCAUAGCCGUUCACAGCCAAAGCACUGACAUUCCUCCAUGUCCUCACGGCUGGAUUUCUCUCUGGAAAGGAUUUUCAUUCAUCAUGUUCACAAGUGCAGGUUCUGAGGGCACCGGGCAAGCACUGGCCUCCCCUGGCUCCUGCCUGGAAGAAUUCCGAGCCAGCCCAUUUCUAGAAUGUCAUGGAAGAGGAACGUGCAACUACUAUUCAAAUUCCUACAGUUUCUGGCUGGCUUCAUUAAACCCAGAAAGAAUGUUCAGAAAGCCUAUUCCAUCAACUGUGAAAGCUGGGGAAUUAGAAAAAAUAAUAAGUCGCUGUCAGGUGUGCAUGAAGAAAAGACACUGA